UGAAGGCUGAAUUUUGUAACGUCAAUAUAAGCCAUCUAAUAGAUAGUGCCGACCUAUAAGUGUCAACACUUUUGUGUAUGCGUAGAUGUACGUGUCUACGCGUGUGUGUCUGUAAAUUUGCCAAGCAGUAGUAUUUUCUUUAACUACUUAUAUGUGUUUGCCAUUCCAGUUUAUGGAGAGAAUUGAAACGGAUCAAUAAACAGGCUGAAGAUAAAAAGUAAAUAUAUUAUGGUGACUAAUUUUGUAAAAUACAAACCCAGCUAAGUAACACCUUCUUA
rnacentral:lncRNA from 1 species